rnacentral:rRNA from 1 species
GACGAACGCUGGCGGCGUGCUUAACACAUGCAAGUCGAACGGAAAGGCCCUGCUUUUGUGGGGGGCUCGAGUGGCGAACGGGUGAGUAACACGUGAGUAACCUGCCCUUGACUUUGGGAUAACUUCAGGCAACUGGGGCUCAUACCGGAUAGGAGCUCCUGCUGCAUGGUGGGGGUUGGACAGUUUCGGCGGUUGGGGAUGGACUCGCGGCUUAUCAGCUUGUUGGUGGGGUAGUGGCUUACCAAGGCUUUGACGGGUAGCCGGUCUGAGAGGGUGACCGGCCACAUUGGGACUGAGAUAAGGCCCAGACUCCUACGGGAGGCAGCAGUGGGGAAUAUUGCACAAUGGGCGGAAGCCUGAUGCAGCAACGCCGCGUGCGGGAUGACGGCCUUCGGGUUGUAAACCGCUUUCGCCUGUGACGAAGCGUGAGUGACGGUAAUGGGUAAAGAAGCACCGGCUAACUACGUG